rfam:Spirochaetes bacterium GWF1_31_7 GWF1_Spirochaete-like_31_7_gwf1_scaffold_31, whole genome shotgun sequence.
AAGCUCUUUACUUUCUUAUCAAAAUCCUUUAUAAAACUUUAAGCAUAUUUCAAUGGAAGUGAGGUGAGAUUCCUCCACUGACCCGCAACAGUAAUCGGAGACGAUUGGAGCUUAUAACACCACUGGUUUAAUACCGGGAAGGUUAAGCACAAAAGGUUAUUAUCCGUAAGUCUGGAAACUUUGGUAUGUAAAACAAUUAUU